UUCGAACUCUCGCGGGGAAACCCCAUGUACUUAGCAGGCACACGCCUUAACCACUCGACCAAAACGUCUUUUAUGCUUUUGGUGCUUCUUUUCCUCUUGUAAACGGUAGGACAUCUAACCAAGGCACGGCAAUCAGACCAUGUACAGCGGCGGCGUGCGGCCAUCGCUUCCGUCCGCGGCGGCGGGAGGAGCCUCCGGCCCGGACGAGCCUCGCGACGCGCGCGUGGUGCGGGAGCUCCUCCGGUCGAUGGGGCUCGGCGAGGGCGAGUACGAGCCGCGGGUCCUGCACCAGUUCCUGGACCUGGCCUACCGCUACGUCGGGGACGUGCUCGGCGACGCCCAGGUCUACGCCGACCACGCAGCCAAGCCCCAGCUCGACGCCGACGACAUCCGCCUCGCCAUCCAGGCCAAGGUCAACUUCUCCUUCUCCCAGCCGCCGCCCCGCGAGAUCUUGCCAAUCAAAAAAAUUGGACCACAAUUGAUGUACCUUAACGCACAAGGAGAGUCUCAUUGCCACUGCUAGAGCACAUCAACCACCCUUUCGUCUCAGUUUUGAUUUGAAGACCACCACGAUCAUUUGAGAUCUGGAUUGUCUGUACAGAUUUUGUUGGUAGUUGGCAGGAGUAGAUCAUCGAUGCUUAUGGCUGCGGGGCUCAUGGAGCCAGAAGAGGCUGUCGGUGCCGGCGACCUUGUCGUCUUUGUCUUGUGCAAAGGUAUCAGAUGAGGGUAUUCGAAGAAGACACCAUGAAUUGGUAUUCAAAAAAGAUACCACCUUUCAUUACAUUGGUAUUCAAAAAAUAUACCACCUUAUGGCCUUUCCUGUUUCCUGUGACUUAAGACUUCCAACUCUUUAACUGGGAUAGUAUCAAAAGAAAAUGAUUUAUGUAACUGGGACACAAUAAAGUAAUUUUGUACAACUAUAUUUUUGUGCACUAGAUAAAAUGUUACUCUGUUUGAAAUAGCACACGAUUUCUCCCUGCUUGAAGUAUGGUUUGUGCUCUCUUCCUCCAUCCCGUGUAUGCGAUUGAUGUCCCCCUCUAAUUGUUUGGUGUUGGAGUCUCUGUAUAAUCAGUGCCUCUUUGCUUAAUCUGCUGACGUAUGCUAUUUACAGUUCCUUCCCCGGCUCCUAACUGAUCUUUAGAGUUACUAUUUAUUAGUAUUUUGUGCUACAACAUAAUUAGUGCCCGGCAAACCCUGUUUACCCUCUUAUGUCACUAUUGUCCAUUGUCAUUCUUUUAUGCAUUAUAACUCAGUUUCAUAUAUCCGCUGCAACAUAAUAUUCUCCAUGGGUUGUUGAAUUGUUUUGCUCCAUACAUCCCAAAAAAACACAGCCUAUUUGCAUUACAUGGUUUUGCUACCUCUUAUGAAAUUGCAUUCACUGUGUUAUGCGGAAAAUUUACUUUGGCCACUCUUUUAAGUGUAUAUUUUCAAUUUCAAGUUUUUCUUUGUAUUACUCUUACGAAAACUCGCUGAGUUUUUUCCUGUGAGCCUGACACAUUGUUUAAUAACUGUUAUAGCUUCAUAACUGUUAUACCCUUCUGAUCUUCUCCUUUUCUUAUGUCAGCUAACCAGUGAGGAUAUAUAUAAAAAGGAUACCACCAAUAGCAUAGCACCCUGCUGCUGUAAUUACAUGUAUGUAUAAAUCCUAUGCUAACUUUAGGUUUUUACCUUAUGGCCUUUCCUCUAAUCAUAUGAGGUACACAGAGAUGAAGUUGAUUUUAGUUCUGUAAAAUUUGAUGUAUUUAUCCAAUGAAAAUGCCCUACUGUUGCCAGCCUGCCAUUAUAUGUAGGUAUAAAAUCUACUCUGGGUUCUUCCAUUUAUGGCCUUUCCUCUAAUCAUAAGAGGUACAAAGGAGAUGCAUUUCAUGAAACUGGAAUAUUUCAGUUCUCUUGCUGGUGUCCGUGCUUUUUUUUAAUCUCACAUGGCUUACUUGCUAUCUAAGUGUUUUCAUUAAACUUUCUCUAUAGCAAGCUUGCUGAAGUUGUAACCGAACAAAAGCAAGGCUCUCUUGACACACUAUCUUUACACACAAAGAGAAGCCAGACUCCCAACCUACCAUGCCCCCUGUAAUUACAACCGAACAGAAGCAAGGCUCACCCACCUAUCAUGACUCUAUAUAGUUCAUUUGUUUGAAUACGAAUCUGGAAUUUGUAAACCACUGUGAUAGCUAGAGCAUAGUCAAGGCGUUGGUGUGUCACUAUGUAUAUUGAUAAAUGAAGAAAAAUAAAAAAGACAGAGGUGAGAAGUUGGGCAUGUCGUGCUGCAACUAGCUGCUUAAUUCAUUUCUGAUCCAUCAUGGUUUGUCAUUUUUUGUUGCAGGUACCUGUUUCAUAUAAUUAUAGUUGCAACUAAUAAAGUCAUCGAUUUUAACGAGGUCCAUAAGAUAAUAAUGUCUCCAUUGAGAUGUGCAAUGAAAUAUCGAAGGAACCUAUCCUUUUGUUUGUGGAUGCAUGAAGUAAUGAUGUCUGGCUAUGGGAGUGUCUCUUCGGAUGUUCUAAGGCAGUUUCCUGUGUCUCUGCUAGCUCCGAUUCUAUUGCGCCCUAUUGUCCGACAUAUGUUUAUUUAUGUGUUUGACCCACGUGUUUAGUUAAUGUUGUUAUGCUGUCGAAGGACAAGCAGAUGUUGCAGACUGUAUGUGGCCCUAUGUACCCUCUUCAGCCUGGACAGUGCUGAGGAUGAAUACAAACUUAUAUGUAAUCGGGUGGUGCUUGCUUUACUUAAGACGCCCGCUGUUCUAUUUCUGAUUUCUUGCUUGGUCCUGUAGAUAUCUACCAUAUUGUAGUUAAAGUUUCUGAUGUACACAUGUUUCAGCCAUAAACAUGGAAGCAAUAUUUGUACCUAUAAAGGAUAUUAUCAUUUGUGAUAUCAGGUUUCUACUACUGCCUGUCUUUGUAUAUGGUUUGGGCACCAUGUGUGCAUUGAACAUUCUGAUCUCUUGGUUAUAGCCACUAUAUAACCAAGAGAUCAGAAUGUUCAAUGCACACAUGCUGCCUCUCCUCAUAUGAAAUCAAAGUCAAGUUAUGGGGAAACCUUUCUGCUAAGUUUGAUAGUGAGACAUCAUUUUAUGUGGAAAAAGUCAACCGGUGGUAGUAAUAUUUUAUGGAACUAUUGUUCGUAUCUAUAAUGAUGAGCAUUGCUUUUUUUUCUAUCUUCUAAACUAUUGAGUAUGAAAUA